GACGAACGCUGGCGGCGUGCUUAACACAUGCAAGUCGAACGAGUGGCGAACGGGUGAGUAACACGUGGGUGACAUGCCCCGUCCUUCGGGAUAAGACUGGGAAACUGGGUCUAAUACCGGAUAGUGGGGGAUGGGCCCGAGGGCUAUCGGCUUGUUGGGGGGGUAAUGGGUAACAAGGCGCGACGGGGAGCCGGCCUGAGAGGGUGGCCGGCCACAUUGGAACCGAGACACGGCCCAGACUCCUACGGGAGGCAGCAGUGGGGAAUAUUGCACAAUGUGCGCAAGCCUGAUGCAGCCAUGCCGCGUGUAUGAAGAAGGCCUUAGGGUUGUAAAGUACGUACAGCGGGGAGGCGUUACCCGCAGAAGAAGCACCGGCUAACUCCGUGCCAGCAGCCGCGGUAAUAC
rnacentral:rRNA from 1 species